rnacentral:misc_RNA from 1 species
UCAAAGAAAAAAUGAUGAAGUAAUCAAAUAUUUCAAAAACUCCUUUUUCUGUCAGAGAUUGUAUGUUUUAGUAGUGCUGCUUGCUCUCAUUACAAUUAUCGGGGUUUGGUUAAUAGCAAUAUGCAUGAAUCUUACAGUCUGAGUGUACAUUUCACUUUGUAGUUUGCUCAUCUGGAAAAUGGUUCAAAUAUAUCUCUCCUUUUUAAUUUGUUAGAAAAAGUUGUACAAUGUACUUAUAUCAGUGGAUAUUUAUGAGUGUACAUUUUUUAGAAUUGGCCCAUAUGAAAACACAACUUAAUAUUUUUGUUAUUGUUUAAUUAUCUUUAUUUGCUAUUUUAUUGAUACAAACAUUACAUUGCCUUUCACUCUUUGGGGUUUCUCUUUCUUGAAUUGUGCAAUGUUCAUGGAGUUCAGCAGCCAUUUGCAAUUAGUUUAUUAGGAAUUUAAUCGGUAUGCUAUCUGAUAUUUAGUAGUGUAUCAUGCUAAACAGGUGCAUUCCUUACUGAAGUUG